rnacentral:rRNA from 1 species
UACGUAGGGGGCAAGCGUUGUCCGGAUUUACUGGGUGUAAAGGGCGCGUAGGCGGAUUUAUAAGUCGAUGGUGAAAUCCUACAGCUUAACUGUAGAACUGCCGUCGAUACUGUGGAUCUUGAGUUCGGAAGAGAGAAGCGGAAUUCCAGGUGUAGUAGUGAAAUACGUAGAUAUCUGGAAGAACACCAGUGGCGAAGGCGGCUUCUUGGUCCGUAUCUGACGCUGAGGCGCGAAAGCGUGGGGAG